rnacentral:rRNA from 1 species
AUGGGGGCGUCUCUCAGCUUCCCCAGCAACGGGAAGCAAACACUGGAGCACAGGGAAGCGUCAAAACCAGGUUCCUCAAAGAAGCUGCGCCCUGGUCAUUACCACCCGAGGCUGAUUCCUGACCUCCCGGAUGAGAUCUCCCUGCAAAUCCUCGCGAGGAUGCCAAGGGUGUGGUAUCUUAGCAGCAAGAGGGUUUCACGGAGCUGGAAGGCCGCCAUCACUGGCAUGGAGUUGUAUCGGGUGAGGAAGGAGCUUGGUGUGGAUGAGGAAUGGAUUUACAUACUGACCAAGGCGGCCAAUGGCAAGCUGUCGUGGCACGCCUUUGAUCCGCUUUGCAGCCGAUGGCAGAGACUGCCGCUCAUGCCUGUGGUUGCUCGUGGGGGAAGCCGUUUAGGGGGUUUGGUGAGUGCUGGGAUUAGGAUCUCUGGUGUCAUUAGAGGCUUGCUUGGCCAAGAGGAUUGGUUAGACAAGAUUCCCUUUUGUGCUUGCGCCAUUGGAACGGUCGAUGGAUGCCUCUAUGUUCUGGGCGGUUUCUCUAGAGCCACAGCAAUCAAAAGCGUAUGGAAGUAUGAUCCAGCUGUAAAUUUGUGGCAGGAAGUAAGCUCAAUGAGCGCCGCGCGAGCGUUUGGCAGGACUGGCCUUUUGAACAACAAGCUGUAUGUUGUUGGCGGUGUCAUCAGGGAAGAAACUGGAUUAGCUCCGCUUCAAUCUGCUGAAGUGUUUGACCCAACCACAGGAAUCUGGGCAGAUGUGCCAAACAUGCCCUUCUCUAAAGCACAAACUCUGCCGACUGCAUUCCUGGCUGACUUACUGAAGCCGGUUGCUACAGGAAUAGUCUCAUUUGGAGGCAAGCUGUAUGUGCCUCAGAGCCUAUAUUCCUGGCCAUUCUUUGUUGACGUUGGCGGGGAGGUGUUCGAUCCUGCGACGGACUCAUGGUCAGACAUGCCUGUAGGCCUGAGCGAGGGUUGGCCUGGGAGGCAAGCCGGGACAAAAUUAAGUGCUGUUGUGGAUGGGGACCUAUAUGCUUUGGAGCCCCCAACUUGUUCUGAUAGUGGCAAGAUAAAGAUGUACGAUUCCAAUGAGGAUACAUGGAAGGCUGUUGUCAGCCAGGUGCCUGUUGGUGACUUUGCAGAGUCAAAGUGUCCGUACUUGCUUGCGGGGUUUCUUGGGAAGCUCCAUUUGGUUAUCAAAGAUGCAAAUGGCAAGGUCAGUAUCGUGCAAACGGACGCUCUGAGGCCUAUGGAUGCAACUGGCUCGACAUGCCAAAACCCAGUCGUCUCCUGGGAGCAAGGCACUGAUGUUUGGAGAACCGUGGGCUCGAAGAAAUUUGCGGUUGCUGAACUUGUUAGCUGCCAGGCGCUCAGCAUAUGA